rnacentral:rRNA from 1 species
GUAAGGAAUAUUGGUCAAUGGAGGCAACUCUGAACCAGCCAUGCCGCGUGCAGGAAGAAGGCCCUAUGGGUCGUAAACUGCUUUUAUACGGGAGAAAACCCAGAUACGUGUAUCUGGUUGAUAGUACUGUAAGAAUAAGGAUCGGCUAACUUCGUGCCAGCAGCCGCGGUAAGACGAAGGAUCCAAGCGUUAUCCGGAUUCAUUGGGUUUAAAGGGUGCGUAGGCGGACUUAUAAGUCAGUGGUGAAAGCCGAUAGCUUAACUAUCGAACUGCCAUUGAUACUGUAGGUCUAGAGUAUAGAUGAUGUUGGCGGAAUAUGACAUGUAGCGGUGAAAUGCAUAGAUAUGUCAUAGAACACCGAUUGCGAAGGCAGCUGACAAAACUAUAACUGACGCUGAUGCACGAAAGUGCGGGGAUCAAACAGGAUUAGAAACCCGUGUAGUCC